UUAUUGGAGAGUUUGAUCCCGGCUCAGGAUAAACGCUGGCGGUGUGCUUUAUGCAUGCAAGUUGAACGGAUCAUUUCGGUGAUCAGUGGCGAACGGGUGAGUAACACGUAAGUAACCUGCCCUCAAGUGGGGAACAACUCUGAGAAAUCGGAGCUAAUACCGCAUGUGGUGGUGGGGGUAAAGCUCCAUCACUAAAGCCGCAAGGCGCUAGAGGAGGGGCUUGCGUCCGAUUAGCUAGUUGGUGAGGUAACGGCCCACCAAGGCGAC
rnacentral:ncRNA from 1 species